rnacentral:rRNA from 1 species
GACGAACGCUGGCGGCGUGCUUAAUACAUGCAAGUCGAACGGAAAGGCCCUGCUUUUGCGGGGUGCUCGAGUGGCGAACGGGUGAGUAACACGUGAGUAACCUGCCCCUGACUUUGGGAUAACUUCAGGAAACUGGGGCUAAUACCGGAUAGGAGCUCCUGCUGCAUGGUGGUGGUUGGAAAGUUUCGGCGGUUGUGGAUUGUCUCGCAGCUUAUCAGCUUGUUGGUGGGGUAGUGGCUUCCCAAGGCUUUGACGGGUAGCCGGCCUGAGAGGGUGACCGGGGACAUUAGGCCUGAGGUAGGCACCAGCCUCCAACGGGAGGCAGUGGUGGGAAAUAUGACGGAGCGGCGGGAAGCCAGAGGUGGCAGCCCCGCGUGCGGAAUAAGGGCUUUCGGGUUGUGAACCGCUUUCUCCGGUACGAAGGAGGGAGUGACGGUAUUGAAUAAGAAAGCACCGGCUAACUACGUG